rnacentral:rRNA from 1 species
GACGAACGCUGGCGGCGUGCUUAACACAUGCAAGUCGAACGGAAAUGCCCUGCUUUUGUGGGGUGCUCGAGUGGCGAACGGGUGAGUAACACGUGAGUAACCUGCCCUUGACUUUGUGAUAACUUCAGGAAACUGGGGCUAAUACCGGAUAGGAUCUCCUGCUGCAUGGUGGGGGUUGGAAAGUUUCGGCGGUUGGGGAUGGACUCGCGGCUUAUCAGCUUGUUGGUGGGGUAGUGGCUUACCAAGGCUUUGACGGGUAGCCGGCCUGUGAGGGUUACCGGCCACCUUGGGACUGAGAUACGGCCCAGACUCCUACGGCAGGCAGCAGUGGGGAAUAUUGCACAAUGGGCGGAAGCCUGAUGCAGAAACGCCGCGUGCGGGAUGACGGCCUUCGGGUCGUAAACAGCUUUCGCCUGUGACGAAGCGUGAGUGACGGUAAUGGGUCAAGAAGCACCGGCUAACUCCGUG